GACAUGUGGCUGGAGUUCACUGUAGAUCUCACUUCACAGGAGACUUGUGCUCCUUACCAUAAAGUCGUCUUUGCUAAAACGCACAAGACCGGAAGCUCCACGCUUCAAAACGUGUUCUUCAGGUAUGGGAGUGUGAACGGGUUGACCUUCGCGCUGCCUGA